GAGUUUGAUCCUGGCUCAGGAUGAACGCUAGCGGCAGGCCUAUACAUGCAAGUCGAGCGGCAAGUUGAGUAGUAAUACUUGACCUAGAGCGGCGCACGGGGCGUAACGCGUAUGCAACCUACCUUUUACUGGGGGAUAGCCCGGAGAAAUCUGGAUUAAACCCCAUAGUACCUAAGGAUCGAUUGGUUUUUAGUUUAAAGAUUUAUCGGUAAAAGAUGGCAUGCGUCUGAUUAGCUAGUUGGCGGGGUAACGGCCCACCAAGGCGACGAUCAGUAGGGUUCUGAGAGGAAGGUCCCCCACACUGGCACUGAGAUACGGGCCAGACUCCUACGGGAGCAGCAGUAGGGAAUAUUGGGCAAUGGUCGCAAGACUGACCCAGCCAUGCCGCGUGCAGGAGACGGCCCUCUGGGUUGUAAACUGCUUUUGUUUGGGAAUAAACCCUUCUACGUGUAGGGGCUGAAGGUACCUUACGAAUAAGCAUCGGCUAACUCCGUGCCAGCAGCCGCGGUAAU
rnacentral:rRNA from 1 species